GAAAUGCGAUAAGUAGUGUGAAUUGCAGAAUUCAGUGAAUCAUCGAAUCUUUGAACGCACAUUGCGCCCCUUGGUAUUCCAUGGGGCAUGCCUGUUCGAGCGUCAUUUGUACCCUCAAGCUCUGCUUGGUGUUGGGUGUUUGUCCCCGUCUCCGCGCGUGGACUCGCCCCAAAGUGAUUGGCAGCCGGCGUACUGGUCCCGGAGCGCAGCACAUGUCGCGCAAACGAGUGCCUUGGUACGGCGGCGUCCAUAAGCCCCUCUCUCACGCUCUUGACCUCGGAUCAGGUAGGAAUACCCGCUGAACACAAGC
rnacentral:misc_RNA from 1 species